rnacentral:rRNA from 1 species
UGAAUUGCAGAAUUCAGUGAAUCAUCGAAUCUUUGAACGCACAUUGCGCCCCCCGGUAUUCCGGGGGGCAUGCCCGUCCGAGCGUC